GCAGAGGCAACAUCAACACGAACGGUGCAGGACGGGCAAGGACCCUCGAUUGCCGCCACAGCCACUGCUGCUGGGCAAGCGUGGACAAGAUCUCCCAGCUCCAGAGGACAUAUUUACAUCUCAAGGCAUCUCUUCCUGCAUCGGAUGCAUCUCAAAAUCCCAUAAGAGGGAGCGCCCUGCGAAUCUGAAAUAAGAUCAGAGAAGGGCUUGCUGCAGCAGUCUGGCCAUCCUCUGCCGAUGAACAUGAACCCUCGUGAAUAGUCGGAAGAAAGCAGAGCUUAAGGGACUAGGACCCUUCAGGAUCCAUCCUUCUCUGUAACUCAGACACCUGGUCAACAGAGGAAAACACGCUUCUGCUAUGAAAACAAGACUCGGAGAUUUGUAGAGAAUGGCACCGUGAAGACAAGAUGGUAACCAUGGUCCAUUCCCUCUCAGCGGCACCACCUGGGCAGGAACGGUACAACCUAAAGAUGAGCCCAGAUUUUCUCUGAAGUGGGUAGCUAAGUGAAUUGUAUUCUUUUGUUGUUGUUGUUGUUCUCCCAGCCCCAGUGAGAAGCAGCAAGGGAUUUAAAUGCGAGUAGUUGAAGAUGAAAGUUCUCAAAUUUUUAUGUUAAAUACAAGCGUACUUAUCCCUUGAUCAUAUCCAUACAAGGCAGCACCUUUAAGACACUGAUCUGAGGGGGAUGCGUGUUCAAAAUGAGAACACUGCUAGGCAGCAAAAUCAAUCAGAUUGCCCUCUUAGAUACACCCAAGGUGAAGCAGCUUGAACUGGGUGUUCCUACCUCUUUCGAUCCUCCCCCUGCUGGAAAAAUCGGUCUCCUGGUGACUCAGAAUUAGUUCAAGAUACUUCCCCACACCCUUACUCUCUGUCAAGAUCAAGCCUGUUCCCCGCUGAUUUCCAACACUGACCCCACACGCCCUCAGGUGAUCCCUCUACCAAGGCGCACACGGCUUUCCAUUCGGGAGGCAAAGGACAGCGUGUAUAGCAGCCUGUGCCUUUAAAGCUCCUCAAAGCCCUGCCCCAGCCUUCCCGGAGGAAUUUAUUCAGGAAUUCUUUAGUCCACCGUACCUUCAUUUUCCAGAAGAGGAAAUGCCUUCUUGUCUUCCAGAACUGCUGCUUGUCUGGCUUAGACUUUAGAGACAGCGUGAUCUAGAACACUUACAAAUGCGGGCUCAUUGCAAGACUACUGAAAUAGAACAAACCAAGCCAACAACAACAACAGAGGAGGAUGGGUAAAGCAUCCCCAUGAAUAAAAUGGGGUGUUGCCCCUGAAAUGAUGCAGUGGGGGAGGGGCCCCUGCAAGGAGUCCGCUCACCUGGUCCCCAGGCCUCAAAAAAGAAUUUGCAUUCCACAGGGCUGCCCGAUGGCACACUGCGGAUCAUCUAAUGUUCCUUCUGCAACAUGUCCAAUCAUAUUUGGGAAUUAGCAUCUAACUCGGGAGCUACCUGUCUCAGGGUGGGUCCAUGAACAUGACAUAAACCCAGUGCUCGGCAGCCACAGUGACUCAAGUAACCAGAGGUCAAUCGAUCCCUCUUCUGUCUUCAUCUACCUCCCGAACAGAGCUCUCAGCCAGGACUGUCUGCGGCUGCCUCUGAUCCCUUUUCCGGUGCCCUUCUUCCAGAACAUGUGAAGGAAGCAGAGGUUAAGGAACCAGGACUUCCAGGAUCCAGCUCUCUUCUGUAUGUCAGUGAUCAGAUAGAGUAUUUUCGCUGCCAAGGAAGACUCUGAACCUCUUAGGUAAAUAGGAUUAUAAAAUUGAGAGUAGUCGGUGCAGUCAUUUCCAACUUAAGUUCUCUCCCUGGGCCGGAAGCUCAAAGCGGAGUUAAUUUUUCUCUGAAGAAAGAUUUCGCUCAUUCAUUCAUGCAUUCAAUUAAUUUUAUCUUUGUGGUCAUCAGAUCUGAGGAUCAACAGCCAUCAAUAACCACAACUCCUCUCAUCUCCUUGGAGACCACAGACCGUACAGAGACUCCGUGUCCUGCAAAGGAGCAUCUGAUUGGAUAAGUGGAGGUUACAGCCCACGCUGCCGGAACUCAGAAGUUCCCUCUUCAGGCUUCUAUAGGAGGAGAUUUGGCAGUGGGGAUCCAUUCAUCUUGCUGCUGCCCAAGCUCUUCCCCAAUCCAGAGGACAUGGGCCUUCUGCUGAAGAUAAGCUCACAACAUCAAAGGAGGAGGAAAUUCCCUCAGUGGAUAUUUUGCCUUAGAGCAAAAAUGGUAUCUCAGCGUUGGGCUUGCCCCUACAUUCAUUCAUGUUGGUACUUUUUAUUUAAGUUUUUAUACUAGCUAGGUUCCCCUUUGCCUAAAAACCCAAGGGAAAAAACCCAAUUCUUUAAUUUACUCACAUCCUGCUAGGCUUUCUCAGGCUAUUCAUUUUCUUACCCCGCUUCAUCUUCAGCUGCAAGGAAGCUGGAGUUUGGAGGAAAGGGGGAGGCAGGUCAACCGGAGGUUGUCCUGACCUCAGAGGGAGAGCCCCCCUGUCGUCAACACCAGGGCUACCCUAGGCUAUUGCAACAUGUCUGCAGGCUCAGUUCUAGAAGAAAAUACCAUUUACUUCCCAACGUGCUGGGGCUCAGUGGGGCAUAAAGAAUAAAUGAAGUAAAUUAACUGACAAAAUUUGGUAAUUGCCAGUUCCUGAGAACUUAAAAGAGAAACCGUAAAAGGGAUCCUGAGCCUUCGCGAGCGUUUAGAGACUAUCUUGAUCCAUAAAAAUAAAGGAGUGGGGCGCCUGGGUGGCUCAGUCGGUUGAGCGUCCGACUUCGG